rfam:Ovis aries breed Texel chromosome 16, whole genome shotgun sequence.
GGCCCUAUAGCUCAGGGGUUAGAGCAACUGGUCUUGUAAACCAGGGGUCGUGAGUUCAUAUCUCGCUGGGGCCU